rnacentral:rRNA from 1 species
GCGUACCAUUAGCUUGUUGGUGGGGUAAAGGCCUACCAAGGCAACGAUGGUUAGCUGGUCUGAGAGGAUGAUCAGCCACACUGGAACUGGAACACGGUCCAGACUCCUACGGGAGGCAGCAGUGAGGAAUUUUGCGCAAUGGGGGCAACCCUGACGCAGCAACGCCGCGUGAGUGAAGAAGGCCUUUGGGUCGUAAAGCUCUGUCAACAGGGAAGAAGUUACAAUUGUUUAACAGAUGGUUGUAUUGACGGUACCUGUGGAGGAAGCGCCGGCUAACUCCGUGCCAGCAGCCGCGGUAAUACGGGGGGCGCAAGCGUUAUUCGGAAUUAUUGGGCGUAAAGGGCGCGCAGGCGGUCUUGUCCGUCAGGUGUGAAAGCUCGGGGCUCAACCCCGGAAGUGCACUUGAAACAGCAAGACUUGAAUACGGGAGAGGAAAGCGGAAUUCCUGGUGUAGAGGUGAAAUUCGUAGAUAUCAGGAGGAACACCGAUGGCGAAGGCAGCUUUCUGGACCGAUAUUGACGCUGAGGCGCGAAGGCGUGGGUAGCAAACGGGAUUAGAUACCCCGGUAGUCCACGCAGUAAACGAUGUACACUCGGUGUAGCGGGUAUUAAAACCUGCUGUGCCCAAGCUAACGCAUUAA